rnacentral:tRNA from 1 species
AACUAAUAAGUUUUUAGAAACAUAUAUUUUGAAAAUAUAAAAAAGAGAAUAAUAUCUCUAUUAGUUU